UAAUACAGGGGGUGCAAGCGUUGCUCGGAAUUACUGGGCGUAAAGCGUGCGCAGGCGGUUUGCCAAGUCGGGGGUGAAAACCCGGGGCUCAACCCCGGAAUUGCCUCCGAAACUGGCAGACUUGAGUACGAGAGAGGGUCGCGGAAUUCUUGGUGUAGAGGUGAAAUUCGUAGAUAUCAGGAAGAACACCAGUGGCGAAAGCGGCGACCUGGCUCGAUACUGACGCUCAUGCACGAAAGCGUGGGGAGCAAACAGG
rnacentral:rRNA from 1 species